rnacentral:rRNA from 1 species
GACGAACGCUGGCGGCGUGCUUAACACAUGCAAGUCGAACGAUGAACCCGGAGCUUGCUCCGGCGGAUUAGUGGCGAACGGGUGAGUAACACGUGAGUAACCUGCCCUUGACUCUGGGAUAACUGCUAGAAAUGGUAGCUAAUACCGGAUACGACCCUCGGCGGCAUCGCCAGGGGGUGGAAAGAAUUUCGGUCAAGGAUGGACUCGCGGCCUAUCAGCUAGUUGGUGAGGUAACGGCUCACCAAGGCGACGACGGGUAGCCGGCCUGAGAGGGUGACCGGCCACACUGGGACUGAGACACGGCCCAGACUCCUACGGGAGGCAGCAGUGGGGAAUAUUGCACAAUGGGCGCAAGCCUGAUGCAGCAACGCCGCGUGAGGGA